rnacentral:rRNA from 3 species
AUCCGGGUUGCGGACAGUGUCUGGUGGGUAGUUUGACUGGGGCGGUCUCCUCCUAAAGAGUAACGGAGGAGCACGAAGGUUGGCUAAUCCUGGUCGGACAUCAGGAGGUUAGUGCAAUGGCAUAAGCCAGCUUGACUGCGAGCGUGACGGCGCGAGCAGGUGCGAAAGCAGGUCAUAGUGAUCCGGUGGUUCUGAAUGGAAGGGCCAUCGCUCAACGGAUAAAAGGUACUCCGGGGAUAACAGGCUGAUACCGCCCAAGAGUUCAUAUCGACGGCGGUGUUUGGCACCUCGAUGUCGGCUCAUCACAUCCUGGGGCUGAAGUAGGUCCCAAGGGUAUGGCUGUUCGCCAUUUAAAGUGGUACGCGAGCUGGGUUUAGAACGUCGUGAGACAGUUCGGUCCCUAUCUGCCGUGGGCGCUGGAGAACUGAGGGGGGCUGCUCCUAGUACGAGAGGACCGGAGUGGACGCAUCACUGGUGUUCGGGUUGUCAUGCCAAUGGCACUGCCCGGUAGCUAAAUGCGGAAGAGAUAAGUGCUGAAAGCAUCUAAGCACGAAACUUGCCCCGAGAUGAGUUCUCCCUGAGACUUAGAGUCUCCUGAAGGAACGUUGAAGACGACGACGUUGAUAGGCCGGGUGUGUAAGCGCAGCGAUGCGUUGAGCUAACCGGUACUAAUGAACCGUGAGGCUUAACCUUACAA